UACGGAGGGCGCAAGCGUUGUUCGGAAUCACUGGGCGUAAAGCGCGUUUAGGCGGCUUUGCAAGUCGGGCGUGAAAUCCCGAGGCUCAACCUCGGAACUGCACUCGAUACUGCUUGGCUCGAGUCCCGGAGAGGGUGGCGGAAUUCCCGGUGUAGGGGUGAAAUCCGUAGAUAUCGGGAGGAACAUCAGUGGCGAAGGCGGCCACCUGGACGGUGACUGACGCUGAGACGCGAAAGCGUGGGGAGCAAACAGG
rnacentral:rRNA from 1 species